AGAUUCGAAACUCCGCACGCUCUGCUGAGUGCCUGCGGGAUGGGAGGGGGCGCCAGGGAAGGAGUGCGCGAGGAGGAGCGUUGCAAAUGUCGUGACAAGAAGUUUCCGUGCGCCCGAGAGCGUGUGAAUUGCUCCUAAUUACCGUGUCCGGUGCGCCUCUCCGCGUAGACGUGUGUAACCCCUCUACUCCUGGGGCUCCGGCUCCACUGAGCCACUCUCCCUUGGCCCGGGGCGCUUGGCAAGGCCUAGCUUCCCAAGUGGCCCCGGAGGCCUGGGGCGGGACAGGAGCAGGUGACAAUUCAAUUACCGCUGUCGAAGUGGGAGUGGAACCCGGGUGCCGGGGUGGGGGAGGGAGGGCGUUCACCGCAGACUUGCCAAGAUGGUUUUUGCUGGCUUCCUUCUGACCGUGACCGUGUGCUUCCACGUCCGACGGGCUCCGAGGUAGUUGAGAGCCGGUUUGCUCCCUUCCCCCGCCCUCUAUCACCUUUAAUGCUUAGUUUCUUCGUUUGCAAAGUCCUGACACCGUGGGCGUCACGGAGUGCCAAAGUAAAAAGCCGCCUUUGCGACUCCCCAGAUCCUCUGGAGGCUGGAGGAACCGGCCAGACGGUCAGACCCAUCAGCCCACAAGACUUCCGCAGGGGGCGAGGGCACUGGACCUGCUUUGACUUGGCCUUCCUCGACCCGUGCUGACGUCACGGCCCGAGAACCCCCUUGGGUCUGCGGAGGAGGUAACAAGUUCGAAUUUUGUAUCUCUUCCUAGUUAUUCCCAUCUGUUACUGAUGUUUAAAUCCUUGGACUGUGUCACCCUCCAGCUCGGACUUUUCCUUUGCCUUUGAGGCUAACAUUCUGUUACUCUCAUUUUUGCUUUCUACUUUUCUCCUUCAGAGUAAAGAAAAUUCGUUUAAAUGAAAUGC
rnacentral:lncRNA from 1 species